UACGGAGGGUGCAAGCGUUAUCCGGAUUUACUGGGUUUAAAGGGUGCGUAGGUGGGUCUGUAAGUCAGUGGUGAAAUCUCCGAGCUUAACUCGGAAACUGCCAUUGAUACUAUAGAUCUUGAAUUAUCUGGAGGUGAGCGGAAUAUGUCAUGUAGCGGUGAAAUGCUUAGAUAUGACAUAGAACACCAAUUGCGAAGGCAGCUCACUACGGAUUGAUUGACACUGAGGCACGAAAGCGUGGGGAUCAAACAGGA
rnacentral:rRNA from 1 species